CUCAAGACUAAGCCAUGCAUGUCUAAGUAUAAUGCUUCUAUACUGUGAAACUGCGAAUGGCUCAUUAAAUCAGUUAUAGUUUAUUUGAUGGUUCCUCACCACUUGGAUAUCCGUGGCAAUUCUAGAGCUAAUACAUGCACAAAGUCCCGACUUCUGGAAGGGAUGUAUUUAUUAGAUCCAAAACCAGCGCGAGUCCUCUGGGCUCGGUUUGUUGGUGAUUCAUGAUAACUUCUCGAACCGUAUGGCCUUCGUGCCGACGGUGCUUCAUUCAAAUUUCUGCCCUAUCAACUUUCGAUGGUACGGUAGUGGCCUACCAUGGUUGCAACGGGUGACGGAGAAUUAGGGUUCGAUUCCGGAGAGGGAGCCUGAGAAACGGCUACCACUUCUAAGGAAGGCAGCAGGCGCGCAAAUUACCCAAUCCCGACUCGGGGAGGUAGUGACAAUAAAUAACAAUGCCGGGCUAUCGUAGUCUGGCAAUUGGAAUGAGUACAAUCUAAACCCCUUAACGAGGAACAAUUGGAGGGCAAGUCUGGUGCCAGCAGCCGCGGUAAUUCCAGCUCCAAUAGCGUAUAUUAAAGUUGUUGCAGUUAAAAAGCUCGUAGUUGGAUUUCGGGGCAGCCUGGCUGGUCUGCCGCAAGGCGUGUACUGGUCAGCUGCUCUUCCUCUCGAAAGCCCCGACUGCUCUUCAUUGCAGUGGUCGGGUAGUUCGGGACGUUUACUUUGAAAAAAUUAGAGUGUUCAAGGCAGGCUCUCGCCUGAAUACAUUAGCAUGGAAUAAUGGAAGAGGACCUCGGUCCUAUUUUGUUGGUUUCUAGGGCCGAAGUAAUGAUUAAGAGGGACAGUUGGGGGCAUUCGUAUUUAAUUGUCAGAGGUGAAAUUCUCGGAUUUAUGAAAGACGAACAACUGCGAAAGCAUUUGCCAAGGAUGUUUUCAUUAAUCAAGAACGAAAGUUAGGGGUUCGA
rnacentral:rRNA from 1 species